UUACGGACAUAUCACAUUGAAACACCGGUGCUCGUCGAUUUACCGAAGUUAAGCAUCGUUGAGCCUGUCCAGUACCUAGAUGGGUGACCGCUGGGAAUACCAGGGA